AAAUACCAGCACUAGUAACUCCUCUGUGUUGAGUUAUACUAGUGGCUAUUGUUACCUCUAAAGACCCUGCAAAAUCUCCUGGCGGUGUAGUGUAUGCUGACAUCAGGAAGUUUAUAAAUCAUCCUGCUUGCUCACCGCUAACUGCAAACUGAAUCUGCAUUUUGUUCUGUCUCUUCUCCUGCCCGGUCGCCUCUCCUGGCUUACAGGUAGCCCCCUCCCUUGCCUAGCUUCCUGUGGUUCCCAAGACCUGACAUCGCGCCCAUCUGGACCACAAAUGAAAACUAAACCUGCAGCAUAAACUCUUCUUAAAACACAGGGUAAACUCAAAGAAUUAUUAUCCUACUCAGAGAGAAUUAUACUGUUCUUGUUAAGAACCUGACACUCUCACUUGAAGACUUCAAUACUACAAAGCCUGGAAAAUUGUAUUAUAAAUACCAGCACUAGUAACUCCUCUGUGUUGAGUUAUACUAGUGGCUAUUGUUACCUCUAAAGACCCUGCAAAAUCUCCUGGCGGUGUAGUGUAUGCUGACAUCAGGAAGUUUAUAAAUCAUCCUGCUUGCUCACCGCUAACUGCAAACUGAAUCUGCAUUUUGUUCUGUCUCUUCUCCUGCCCGGUCGCCUCUCCUGGCUUACAGGUAGCCCCCUCCCUUGCCUAGCUUCCUGUGGUUCCCAAGACCUGACAUCGCGCCCAUCUGGACCACAAAUGAAAACUAAACCUGCAGCAUAAACUCUUCUUAAAACACAGGGUAAACUCAAAGAAUUAUUAUCCUACUCAGAGAGAAUUAUACUGUUCUUGUUAAGAACCUGACACUCUCACUUGAAGACUUCAAUACUACAAAGCCUGGAAAAUUGUAUUAUAAAUACCAGCACUAGUAACUCCUCUGUGUUGAGUUAUACUAGUGGCUAUUGUUACCUCUAAAGACCCUGCAAAAUCUCCUGGCGGUGUAGUGUAUGCUGACAUCAGGAAGUUUAUAAAUCAUCCUGCUUGCUCACCGCUAACUGCAAACUGAAUCUGCAUUUUGUUCUGUCUCUUCUCCUGCCC